ACACUGCUGAAGAGUCCCACAAUAGGACAAAACGGCCGUGCAGUGU
rfam:Schistosoma rodhaini strain Burundi genome assembly, scaffold: SROB_scaffold0010013